CGUCAAUCUUUUCGUUUCUCGUUGGAUUCAGCCUUGUAUGAUCAUUUGCAAUACCUUGCGUACCUAAAAUGUAGACUUGUCAACGUCAAUAUGUGCCUAAUAAACCAACUUGUUAAGUUUUUGGUGUAAAUAUCAAACGAUAAUUUUGGAGCCGUUUUAAUGUAGGUGUGAAGCUGCCGUGCUAAGGUUCGCAAAGUUUCUAUAAAUGAAUUUCAAAUAAAUAGUUACUUCCAACAUUGGUACUCUUACCAUGCCAAAAGAAGGAACUACAAUCAACUAUAGCAUUAUGGGAACCAUUUGAAAUGCUCUUUUGAUGAUAGAAAAGGUCAUAAAAUAACCUCUAAAAGUGAAAAGCGUUGUUUUGCUUGAAAUUCAGAUAACCCUAAGAAAACCGUCCAUGCGUCUUGAGAGAAACCAGCGUCUUUUGUAGAUAACUCUGAUAAAGCAACCAAUAAAAUGAUGAUUACAAGUAAUCUAUGGUAACGUUGAUUUCCUGUGCAUACUCUCGUCACGACAAAUGAACUGAUGGCUAAAGAGUAGCAUCAUAUUAAGGGCUAAGGCAUAAUUGUCGAUUUUUUGACAUUUAUCAUUCCGAUGUUGUAAAACUUCAGGUGGCUUGAAUCAUGUAAAACCAAAA